rnacentral:lncRNA from 1 species
UGCAACAAACAUUUUAGUAUUCACACCCUGUUACACUUUGAAUAUGUCAAAUAAAGCUUUACUUUUGAUGCUCACACAAAAAAGCAAAUGUUUGUUCAAUUUAAAAACAGGGAAACCAAAUGAAGAGUCACCUGCCGCCCCAUCCGGUUGCAUAAUGAUGGCCGCUCAGUUUCUGCUAAUCCCCCUGCUCCUUCUUGCGCUGCUGAUUUUACUGAUGUGGAAGAAAGGACUGCCUGCACAUGGACGAUCACUUGAGGCAACAAGUGAAGAGCCUGCUGUGGACAGGACUGAUACGGGGAUGUGUGACAGACAACAAAAUCUCAAUCAAGGAGAGGACAUGGGCCCCACUGAAUGGAGUGAUAAUUCUGCCGAUGAUUCUGACGACUAUGUCAACGAUACCUAUCAGGACGGAGCCCCUGAUGAAGGAGCCGCAAGACCUUAUGCCACAGUGUCGAAGAAAAGAAAGAAAAAGAAACCAGAGCCACUGUAUUCAAUUGUUCUUCAGUAGUUUUUGUUUCUAUUCUGAAAAUGCAGUGUAACAGUUUGUUAUCAUGUUAUUUGAAAGCUCCUUGAUCAAUGCGAACUUUGUUGUGUAAUGAUUUGCCAUGAUUUCUCAUUUUCACCACCCGAACAUAUGAAUGUGUGAAUACGCAAUAAAUCAUACAAGUGCAAUUUACA